rnacentral:lncRNA from 1 species
AGAGUUUAUCUGGUUGAAGGAGUAAAAUCCUACCUGGGCAUAGAAAAGGAAACAAGUACUGGAAAUACACAAGGGACCUCCUGGGACUAAGGCCUGAUAUUGCUACAACUUCUUCAGCUGGGGAAUACCCAAACCACCAGUGCUAGCCACAUCAGUCUUUGUAGCGGCUGAGAGACCUGCUCUAAGACUUUGCCAGCCUGCAGAUUCCCUGAAAGUAGGCUUUGGGUAUUCACCCUCUUCAUAUCGGCACCCAGCAGAUUAGAUCAAUGGCUCUGAGGUACAAGUGAAACAUUAAGCAAAUAUUGUGUGGUUUGGGAUUUGUUUGCUUUUAUUAUAGGAAGACCUGGAAAUAUCACAGUAAGAUGGACUUCCUAAGCUCUUCAAAGGCACUGGGUUAGAAUAUGCAAAGUCCUCAUGAAUUAGAUUUCUAGUUCAGCAGAGUUUGAGACCCCUUGGUUCAUUAGAAAAAGGAAUAGCAGCUAUUUUCUUUGGUUUCUGAUUUUUUUUUUUCUGGUUCCAGUUCUGGGUCUCUGUUUCUGAGAUUGGUAAUUUCUAGAGGUCAGCCUACUGCCUACUAUUCCCCACGGCUGUUAGGA